UACGUAGGCAGCAAGCGUUGUCCGGAAUCAUUGGGCGUAAAGCGCGUGUAGGCGGUCCGGUAAGUCGGUUGUGAAAGUCCAGGGCUCAACCCUGGGAUGCCGAUCGAUACUGCCGGACUAGAGUCCGGAAGAGGCGAGUGGAAUUCCCGGUGUAGCGGUGAAAUGCGCAGAUAUCGGGAGGAACACCUGUGGCGAAAGCGGCGCACUGGACCACAACUGACGCUGAGGCGCGAAAGCUAGGGGAGCAAACAGG
rnacentral:rRNA from 1 species